GGGUCCCAGGGGGGUCCCCAGGCCGGGGGUCCGCUCUCACCGCGCAGCAGAGCCCUCACGAAGCGCCCGGCUCCCGGCACCGCCAGCCACCAACUCCCGGCAUCGCGCACGGUCAGGAGCCCCGCGGCCACCAGAGCCCUGCUGGGGCCACCAGAACCCGGCUGGGGCCACCAGAGCCCUGCCGGGGCCACCAAAACCCGGCUGUGGCCACCAAAACCCGGCUGUGGCCACCAAAACCCGGCUGUGGCCACCAAAACCCGGCUGGGGCCACCAAAACCCGGCUGGGGCCACCAAAACCCUGCUGUGGCCACCAAAACCCAGCCAUGGCCACCAGAACCCGGCUGUGGCCACCAGAACCCGGCUGGGGCCACCAAAACCCGGCUGUGGCCACCAGAGCCCUGCUGGGGCCACCAAAACCCUGCUGGGGCCACCAAAACACGGCUGUGGCCACCAAAGCCUGGCUGUGGCCAUCAGAACCUGGCUGUGGCUACCAGAACCCGGCUGUGGCCACCAGAACCCGGCUGUGGCCACCAGAACCCCCCAGAGCCACCCUGGGGGUCCCAAACCCCACCCUGGGCUGUCCCCAGGUCCCCCCAGGUGUCCCCAUGACCCCCAGGUGUCCCCAGGUGUGUUCCAGGUGUGUUUUUGGUGUCCCCAGGUGUCCCCCCAUGACCCCCAGCUGUCCCCAAAUGUCCCCAGGUGUCCCCAGGUGUCCCCAGGUGUCCCCAGGUGAGGUUUGGGGUGUCCCAGGUGUGUUUUUGGUGUCCCCAGGUGAGGUUUUGGUGUCCCCAGGUGUGUCCCAGGUGUCCUUAGGUGUGUCCCAGGUGUCCCCAGGUGUGUCCCCAGGUGUCCCAGGUGUCCCCAGGUCCCCGCAGGUGUCCCCAGGUGUCCCCAGGUGUCCCCAGCUGUCCCCAGGUGUCCCCAGGGGUCCCCAG
rnacentral:lncRNA from 1 species